UUUUUUUUUUUUUUUUUUUUUUUUUUUUUUUACUUUCCAGUCUUUAGAGGUCGUGUGCACUGUGACCCACUCUUCCCCCUAAUCUUACUUAUUACUGCAAUACACACAGCCACACUGUAUGCAGACACACAGCCUUGGGCUCUUCAGGGUUCAGAAAAUAAAAGUCACUUUUAAAAGGACAUGUAUCUAGGUGUAGUUUAUGAAAUAAUGUGAUUGAGCAAAUCACAGUAGAAAUACAAUGACAAUAAAUACUUGAAAAAUGUUCAUUCCCAUUAGUAAUCAAAGACAUAAAAUGACAAUAGGGAACUAUCUGUCACCAUCAAAUUAGAAAAGCCUUUUAAGGGGGCUCUUAGGUGGCUUGGUUGAUUAGGCAUCUGACUCUUGAUUUUGGCUCAGGUCAUGAUCUCAGGGUCUUAAGAUCAAGCCCCACGACAGGCCCCAGCAGGCUCUGUGCUGGGAGUGGAGCCUGCUUAAGAUUCUCUCUCUCCCUCUGCCCCCCCCCAACCCUGCUCAUACACUCUCUCUUCCAUUCUCUCUCUCUCUCUCAAAACAAAAUGAAAAGACUUUUAAACAUGUGAAUAUCCUAUUCCAAGUAAGGAGGUAACUUGGCUCCUAUAAGACAACUACUCUCAAAUUUUCCUUAAUAACAAAAAGCAAGGGGCACCUGGGUGGCUAAGUGACUGACUUGAUUUCAGCUCGGGUCAUGAUCUCAGGGUUGUGAGAUCAGGUUUGGCUCUGCGCUAAGCAUGGAGCCUGCUUAAGAUUCUCUCUCUCUCUCUCAAAAUAAAAAUUUUUUAAAAGGCCUUUUUUCUGAGGUAUUGGAUGUGAUAGGAUACAUCUGGAUGGUCUAAGCCAAUCACAUGAUCUUGCUACCCUUGCCAGCACCUGGUUUCUACAUAUGCAUGUGAUACAAUUUUGUCUGUCAGACAUAGGGAGAAAUCUUCUGGGAAGGGGAAGGGAGGGUUCCUAGGAAUAUUUUCCACUUUCUGAGAAGGCUACCCAAGACAGUAACUAUCAUUGAUUUCUUGCCUUUGGAUCCUGUUUGCAUACCCCUGGACCUAGCAACUAUAUUUCUAGGUCUUUAUCCUAAAGAAAUCAUCAGAGGUAUGCAAUGGUUUACAUCCAGGGCUGCUCAUGGUAGAAUUAUUUACUGUAAUGAAAAUUAGAAAUAGUCAUAAACAUCUAACAAUAAGUUUUGUUAAAUCAAGUAUAGGACAUCCACCCAUACGGUAUGACAUAUUCAUUCAAAAUUAUAUUGCAGAUGAAUAAGAAAUUCCUUAUGCUGUGUUGUCAAGAAAGACAAGUACAAAAUCAAAAAGUUUUGGAAAUUAUGUAUAUGUAUGUGACGUGUGUGUGUGUGUAUUAUACAUACAUACCUCCUGGAGGGUGAGAUGAUGGGAGAUUUUUCUUUUCUUUUUCUUUUUUGGUGUUUAUUUUCCAAAGUUCGCAAUGUUAGGGUUUUUUUGAUUAUUGCAAUUAGAGGGAAAAAGAUAUUAAAAAAAAAAAAAAGCAUCGGUAGGUGUUGUAACAGAGCACAAAGAAGACACAGCCUAACUGUAAUUCUAAGUGUGCUAGUCCUGAAAGGUGUGCUGGAGCUGAGUUCUGAUAUCAGCCAGGAUUCUUUGCUCAUAAGGGAGAAAGGAUAUUUCAAGCAGAGGGAGAAGCGGAGCAGAGCCUGAAAACUGAGCCUUUGGGGAACAUGGCCUUUUCAGGGAAAUACUCAUAGUUUAACCCGCUUAGAGGCUGUGGAUGGAGCAUGUGAUAGGACCCAGUGGGAGAUCACACUGGGGAGAGCCUCUCCCAAAGGGCCUUGCAAAGCAAGCUUUGAAUCUUGACUUUUAUCUUUUAGGCAGUGGGAUCUGACAAUGAUAUAGAAAAUUAUUUCCAUGGAAAAGCAGACAUUUCUGUGCUACUUUUUUGUUUUGUGAUAUUUGUUGUAUGCUUUUGGGAGAAUCAAACUUCUAUUUUUUCUACUAUACAUU
rnacentral:lncRNA from 1 species